rnacentral:rRNA from 2 species
UAACUGAUCAGGUAGUGACGGUAUCCAACCAGAAAGCCACGGCUAACUACGUGCCAGCAGCCGCGGUAAUACGUAGGUGGCAAGCGUUGUCCGGAUUUAUUGGGCGUAAAGCGAGCGCAGGCGGUUUCUUAAGUCUGAUGUGAAAGCCUUCGGCUCAACCGAAGAAGUGCAUCGGAAACUGGGAAACUUGAGUGCAGAAGAGGACAGUGGAACUCCAUGUGUAGCGGUGAAAUGCGUAGAUAUAUGGAAGAACACCAGUGGCGAAGGCGGCUGUCUGGUCUGUAACUGACGCUGAGGCUCGAAAGCAUGGGUAGCAAACAGGAUUAGAUACCCUGGUAGUCCAUGCCGUAAACGAUGAGUGCUAGGUGUUGGAGGGUUUCCGCCCUUCAGUGCCGCAGCUAACGCAUUAAGCACUCCGCCUGGGGAGUACGACCGCAAGGUUGAAACUCAAAGGAAUUGACGGGGGCCCGCACAAGCGGUGGAGCAUGUGGUUUAAUUCGAAGCAACGCGAAGAACCUUACCAGGUCUUGACAUCCUUUGACCACUCUAGAGAUAGAGCUUUCCCUUCGGGGACAAAGUGACAGGUGGUGCAUGGUUGUCGUCAGCUCGUGUCGUGAGAUGUUGGGUUAAGUCCCGCAACGAG